GACGAACGCUGGCGGCGUGCUUAACACAUGCAAGUCGAGCGAACAGGUGAGGAGCUUGCGGCGCGCACGAGAGCCGCGCACGUGUGUGUAACACGUGUAUCACCUACUUAUAAGACUGGGAUCACCUGGGGACACCGGAGCUAGCACCGGAGGAUAUAUUGAAGCGCAGUGGGCAAUAGUAAGAGACGGCGGUGCUGGCACGUAUAGAUGCUUCCGCGCGGUAUUAGCUAGUUGGUAGGGUAACGGGUUACGAAGGCAACGAGGCGUAGCCGAGCUGAGAGAGUGAUCGCCCGCACUGGAGCUGAGACACCGUCCUGGCGCCUACGGGAGGCAGCAGUAGGGAAUCUUACGCAGUGGGCGGGAGCCUGACGGAGCAACGCCGCGUGAGUGAUGGAGGUCUUCGGAUCGUAAAACUCUGUUAUUAGUGAAGAACAAAUGUGUAAGUAACUAUGCACGUCUUGACGGUACCUAAUCAGGAAGCCACGGCUAACUACGUG
rnacentral:rRNA from 1 species